rnacentral:rRNA from 1 species
ACAGCAGCAGCCGCGGUAAUACAGAGGGUGCGAGCGUUAAUCGGAUUUACUGGGCGUAAAGCGUGCGUAGGCGGCUUUUUAAGUCGGAUGUGAAAUCCCUGAGCUUAACUUAGGAAUUGCAUUCGAUACUGGGAAGCUAGAGUAUGGGAGAGGAUGGUAGAAUUCCAGGUGUAGCGGUGAAAUGCGUAGAGAUCUGGAGGAAUACCGAUGGCGAAGGCAGCCAUCUGGCCUAAUACUGACGCUGAGGUACGAAAGCAUGGGGAGCAAACAGGAUUAGAGACCCGCGUAGUCCCUGUCUCUUAUAC